AAAUUGAAGAGUUUGAUCAUGGCUCAGAUUGAACGCUGGCGGCAGGCCUAACACAUGCAAGUCGAACGGUAACAGGAAGCAGCUUGCUGCUUCGCUGACGAGGGGCGGAUGGGUGAGUAAUGUCUGGGAAACUGCCUGAUGGAGGGGGAUAACUACUGGAAACGGUAGCUAAUACCGCAUAACGUCGCAAGACCAAAGAGGGGGACCUUCGGGCCUC
rnacentral:rRNA from 1 species